GUUAUAACCAACUGUUGUUAAGCAUUCAUUUUCCGCGCUUUGUAAAAACGUAAUGAUUGACUUAGAAAUAAAAAUUAACUGUUGGUAUAUAUACAAACCAUUGGAAAAUAUGCAAAAGAAAGAACCACGCUCUGACCACACGAUAAAGGAAAUCUUCAGCAGAAAACAGUUAUUUUGUAUGUGCCAUGGAAACAGCCAAAAUGACACAUCUAGGAAUAACAGCCCUUAUGUUUGCUGAGUUUGACAGUUUGUACAAUCAAAGGUGAUGAGAACUGUAGCCCAGGGGACAAACAAUUUAAAAUUCUUCCAUGUCCACAUGGCUUUAGAGAUGAUGGUUUAAGCUGUUGGAAAGAUUCUUACGGCAGAGGUGUUGGCCGAAUUCCCAACAAAUCACCUUGCCAGCAAGGCCAACGUGAUGACGGAACAAGCUGUUGGAUUGAUUCCUACGGAAGAGGGGUUGGUCGCGCUGCCGACAAAGCUCGGUGCCCACAUGGUCUUAGAGAUGAUGGCACCAGUUGUUGGAGUGAUGCACGUAUAUAUGGAAAAGGAUGAUGUUGUACAUUGUGGGGAUGUUGUAACAGAUGUCCAAGCGGUUAUAAAGACGAUGGUUGCACAUGCAGAAAGGUCAAUGUAGGCAUAAAGAGGACCCUAUUCCAGAGACUAGGCUGUAAAGGCACAGAGGACAAAUACGGGUCUCGCUGCUACCCUAAAUGUAAACAUGGCUAUAGACCUAUUGGAUGUUGCAUUUGUGAACCUAGAGGGGGCCCGAGAGUAAUUGAAACCUUGAAAUCUCGACAAACCUGCAGAAUGCACGAAAAUAUGUACGGCGGACUGUGCUACCCAAAAUGUCGAGACGGGUACAAGCCUGUUGGAUGUUGCAUGUGUGAACCAAAGGGAGGUCCAGGAAUCAAAAUAAGCUAUAUUGAACGACUCCAUACAUGUUUAUUAUCUCAAGGUGUCGAUAAAAUAAGAAAUGCAAUGAAAGGGAUGUCUCAAGAUAUGAUUGAUAAACUCAAUGAAAUGAUUACAAAUCUAAAAAAACAAAACAAGCUUACUUAGGCCAAACUAAAUUUAAUAUCACCUGCUUUUUAAUAUAACAGUUUAUAAGUUAUAGAAAGAACAUCGAAACACGAGAAUAUCUGAUUUGUACGAGGGGCGAUGUUAUUUCUCUUUUUUAUCAUAGUCCAAUAUAAAAACAUAUUCUCUGUCGUCACAAUAUGAAUGUCAAGAAGAAUGUAACCAAUGAACGAGCAUCUGAAUAUAAUAUUUCUGUCGCUUUCCUUUCUCUGCCGUCACCAUAAGUAAACCUCAGCAAAAAUGAUCCAAACAAUGGACAUGAUCUGGAGUGCGAGUUAAUUAUACCUUCACUCAAGUUAACGCACUGUGCAUGUAUAUGUAUACGAUAUAAAGUCCCCAAACUAUGAUACAAUUAUAUUUUAACAUUAAAUCGGAACCGUGUACUUUUCUUUUUUCUGCGAGCCUCUCUUAUUCAGUAAUUAAAAAGCAAACACUUUUCAU